rnacentral:rRNA from 1 species
UACGUAGGGAGCUAGCGUUGUCCGGAAUCAUUGGGCGUAAAGCGCGCGUAGGCGGCCCGGUAAGUCCGCUGUGAAAGUCAAAGGCUCAACCUUUGAAUGUCAGCGGAUACUGCCGGGCUAGAGUCCGGAAGAGGCGAGUGGAACUCCUGGUGUAGCGGUGGAAUGCGCAGAUAUCAGGAAGAACACCAACGGCGAAGGCAGCUCGCUGGGACGGUACUGACGCUGAGGAGCGAAAGCGUGGGGAGCGAACAGG